GACCGAUAGUGAACCAGUACCGUGAGGGAAAGGCGAAAAGAACCCCGGCGAGGGGAGUGAAAAAGAACCUGAAACCGUGUACGUACAAGCAGUGGGAGCCCCACCACUAAGCCAGUGGUGAACUCCACAUCCGCAUCCUUUGCUGAGGAUACGGUUAACGGAGCGAAAGCGACGUUCAACCGCAAAACAAGCAGAGGGGGCUUAGUGGUGGGGUGACUGCGUACCUUUUGUAUAAUGGGUCAGCGACUUAUAUUCUGUAGCAAGGUUAACCGAAUAGGGGAGCCGGAGGGAAACCGAGUCUUAAUUGGGCGUUAAGUUGCAGGGUAUAGACCCGAAACCCGGUGAUCUAGCCAUGGGCAGGUUGAAGGUUGGGUAACACUAACUGGAGGACCGAACCGACUAAUG
rnacentral:rRNA from 1 species